rnacentral:rRNA from 1 species
UACGGGGGGGGCAAGCGUUGUUCGGAAUUACUGGGCGUAAAGGGCUCGUAGGCGGCCAACUAAGUCGGAUGUGAAAUCCCCAGGCUUAACCUGGGAACUGCAUCCGAUACUGGAUGGCUUGAAUCCGGGAGAGGGAUGCAGAAUUCCAGGUGUAGCGGUGAAAUGCGCAGAGAUCGGGAGGAACACCAAUGGCGAAAGCAGGUACCUGGACCAUUACUGACACUCAGCCGCGAAAGCUAGGGGAGCAAACAGG